AACAUGGAAGGCAACAGACUGUUC
rnacentral:piRNA from 1 species